GAAAGCGAUCAGACAAAAGAGAGAAAGAAAGACAAGAAAAAAAAUCAAAAUGAGAGAAGCUACGACGACGUUUCACAAACUCGAAACUCUGUAAAACCCUUGAUAGAAACCUUAUCAAAAUCAUUAAUAAACAUCACAAUUUCAGUCUCUAGCAAGAGAAAAAUGUAUCGAGCCAUCUGCUCAUAUGCCUCCAAAGAGUUAAUACCCACAUAAUUUCACACGAAAUCAGAUUGAAAAAAGAGAGGGAUUCAACAAAGGAAAACCUAACACAAACAAUCACUAACAAGCAAGAGCAAACAGGAACCGAUCAUCAUCGUCUCGAGAUAGAAUCUAGAAGCGUACUUGAAAAUCUCAAAUCAAAAGGAGAGUUGUACUUUCUCGGGAGAAACCUUUUCGCCUCUCCUCUUUUUUUUUUUUUUUUGUAAACUGCGUGCCAGCGCCUUUCCUCUGCUGCUUGGAUGAUGUUUAUAGUUCGCUUUAUCAAACUAACUUCCGUAAUCUUCUCCUACAUAUAAAAGAAACAAAAUCCCUGGCUUGAUUGUUUUAUAAUUUUAAAGUAUUGAUUCAACUUAUCCUAAUCUAAUAUAACAAAAAAAAAAAGAUACAGCAAUCGCCAUCAGAUACUCUUACUUGUGCAGACGCACUGAAAGAGAUAUUCACUUUUUCCUUGAAAUUAGCUGGUGGACAAGAAGGAAAUUCUGCUCUAGCCAAUGAAGCGACAGCAAUUGCCAUCAGUGUUUUGACACAAAACGUUGAUUGCUUUGAGCAAUGGGAUGUUCUCUACAAGGAGAAUCUUGAGGCUAGCGUUGCUCUUCUUAAAAAGCUUGUAGAGGAAUGGGAGGAUCAUUCCUUCAAACUAUCAUCAUCACCCAGUGAUACUCUCACUGUCAAGCAGGCUAUCAAUAGCUUCAGGAUGAAGAACGAAAAAGCCAUCACUGAAGGAGUAGCCAAUCUUUCUCUUUACAAAGAUGCUGACAAGUCGUGCAAACUAAUCUCGACGAGACUCUCCGCCUCUCCGGUGGCCCCGGAAUAGCACCACCCUUAACCGCUAUGGUUAUAGCAGCUGCAGAAGCCGUAUUAUUUUCCGUUAUAGAUCAUCAAAACUAAAACUUGUCCAUGU